GAGUUUGAUCCUGGCUCAGAUUGAACGCUGGCGGCAUGCCUAACACAUGCGAGUCGAGCGGCAGCGCGGAGCAAUCUGGCGGCGAGCGGCGGACGGGUGAGGAAUACAUCGGAAUCUGCCCUUUUGUGGGGGACAACUCAGGGAAACUUGAGCUAUUACCGCAUGAUGUCGAGAGACCAAAGCUGGGGACCGUAAGGCCUGGCGCAGGAGGAUGAGCCGAUGUCGGAUUAGCUAGUUGGUAGGGUAAAGGCCUACCAAGGCGACGAUCCGUAGCUGGUCUGAGAGGAUGAUCAGCCACACUGGAACUGAGACACGGUCCAGACUCCUACGGGAGGCAGCAGUGGGGAAUAUUGGACAAUGGGGGCAACCCUGAUCCAGCAAUGCCGCGUGUGUGAAGAAGGCCUUCGGGUUGUAAAGCACUUUUGUUCGGGACGAAAUCUUACUAAUUAAUACCUAGUGAGGAUGACGGUACCGAAAGAAUAAGCACCGGCUAACUUCGUGCCAGCAGCCGCGGUAAUCCC
rnacentral:rRNA from 1 species